rnacentral:rRNA from 1 species
CAACUUUCAACAACGGAUCUCUUGGCUCUCGCAUCGAUGAAGAACGCAGCGAAAUGCGAUACGUAAUGUGAAUUGCAGAAUUCAGUGAAUCAUCGAAUCUUUGAACGCACAUUGCGCCUUCCGGUAUUCCGGGAGGCAUGCUUGUUUGAGUAUCAUUAAACACC